GCGGUGGAGCAUGUGGUUUAAUUCGAUGAUAACGCGAAAACCUUACCCGGGCUUGACAUGCAUCAGACAGGCGUAGAGAUACGCCUCCGCGAGGCUGGUGCACAGGGUGCUGCAUGGUUGUCGUCAGCUCGUGUCGUGAGAUGUUGGGUUAAGUCCCGCAACGAGCGCAACCCCUACCGUGUGUUACCAUCAUUAAGUUGGGGACUCGCACGGAACUGCCGGUGAUAAACCGGAGGAAGUGGGGAUGACGUCAAGUCCUCAUGGCCCUUAUGGGUAGGGCUUCACACGUCAUACAAUGGUCGGUACAGAGGGUUGCCAAGCCGCGAGGCGGAGCCAAUCCCACAAAGCCGAUCGUAGUCCGGAUUGUUCUCUGCAACUCGAGAGCAUGAAGUCGGAAUCGCUAGUAAUCGCAGGUCAGCAUACUGCGGUGAAUACGUUCCCGGGUCUU
rnacentral:rRNA from 1 species